GUUCUGGCAUCAUCAUCAUUGUUAAUGGACAGUUUCCGCCUCGUGGAAUCAUGGGACCACAACUGACGGCGGUCAGAGAGAUACGAAGCAACUCGUGGUAGCCGGAAGAUAAUCGAGGGUAUCGUAGCUGGACGAUUGAGUUUGCUGUCCGAUUUGAAAAUCCGAAAAUAGACGUAGCCUCAAAAGAUGUACUAUUUUUUAGAAAUGAAAUUAAACAAUUACUUAAGAAGUGGUAGAAGACCGUAGAGAAGACCCAUCUGAUAGAUUGCUACAAAGUGAGAUAGAAAUAGGCAAGAGAAAAGAGGAUGCAAUGGGAAAGGAAAAGAUGGAUAUGUAUGAGAAACGAGAUCCGAAUGUACUCUUCACGUGGAUUGCCCUAUAGCGAACGGAUGUAAUGACAGCGAACUCAUCCAAUACGCUUUGCUGACGUUAACGUGACGCUGCUCUCGAAAAGCUAAAAUACUACUGCGUCGUGCAUUCGCUUCUCUCUCUCUCUCUCUCUCUCUCUCUCUCUCUCUCUCUCUCUCUGUGUGUGUGUGCGUGCGUGCGUGCGUGCGUGCACGGGGAUAGAAGAACGCUCUUGUAAUGCCAAACUCGGUAAAUUCGAUGCUCGUAAAGAGCCGCCGUAAAACGACGACGGCAUUGACAAAAAUCAUACAGCUUUACUCAAUGUAACCAAAAGUUUUAAUGCAUUUCUCAUGUAUAUCCCUAAAAAUGAAUCGUUUCUUUCGAGGAAGGAUAUUAUUUUCAAAUCUUUUUAUAAUAAUCGAGAGUAAUCUCAUUCUUUUGAUAUUUGAUUUAUUAUAUGAAAUAACAUAGUCGAACCAUUUUUUAUACUAUAUUAACAAGUUAUAGUCGAAAUAUAAACACAUUCCCAAAAUUGACUCCGAUGUUUUUACAUUUUUUUAAUUUUUAUUUUAUACUUAAAUGAUUAAGAAAAGUUAAAGAAAAAACGAUCUCGAGGUAAAUAUAACCUGAUAUGAAUAUCGUAUGAUCAAGAGAAUAGGAAAGCUUUCGCUUCUUUUUGGAAGCACGACAAGCAUAAUAAGUAGAUAAGUUUUAAGAAGGAUCGACAAGAAUCGUAAAUGUGCAAGAAGCGGGAAGAGGAGAGAUUAUGAGAAGUGAAGCUUUUAUACCAAGAGAAAACAACUUGAGUCAAGCAAAAUGUUCUCAUUUCUACUACCAUUGGUGUUUACGUAACGUCGGGUGUAAGUAAGAAGAUUUGAGAUUCAAAUUUUCUAUUGGAAAAAGAAGAAAAGAAUGUAAUGCCUUUUACCGUUGGCUUUUUAAACUGCACGAACAAUCUAAGGACUUUUCAGUCUACUCCCUUACCCAGUCCAUUGACAAUAAUAACUUUUUAUCUUAAAAAAUAUUAUCAGGCAAUGAUUAAAUUCUGUUCUGUGUCUGUAAAUAUCUAAAAUCUCGUAUUAUGUGAAAAUGAAAAGUUUGAAAAUUUAACAAAGCUUUGAAUAGAAAUUAAAGCAGCUUUAACUUCGUAUUAAUGCUCGUUCAUUGAAAAUUGGCAUGAUUGAGAGAAAUUGUAAUAAACUGUUUGGUCCUUUCAGUUCGUUUUCCCUGAAUUCUGUAAUUACAGAUUCGGAAUAUCUUAACUAUUUUACAAUAACUAUUGUACACGAGAUAACAGGACAAGCAUAAAUUUCUGUGUCGUUCAUAUAGGUUCAUAUGAGAAUGUUAUACGUGUACCGUGGAGCUAUAGUAAUGUCCAAAAUUCGAUCAUGAUGGUAAUUACGAGAUCAUAUUCAUGGUGAUACAGACAUGCAAAUUUAAAAGUACACACGGACCCUAACUUUGGCUGAAAUAUAAUAAAAACUAAAUUCACGAUAUGAUCCUCCAAAUUUUUUUCAAAAUUUUCUAUUCGAUUUAAAAUAUCGUGCAAUUUGUUUUAUUCUGAAACUUCCAUCCUUCGAUCAAGUAAAUAAUAAUUAUCUACUUGUACUUGAAUUAUUUACUUACUCGUCUAAUUACUUGAAUUACCUUGUUGACAUUUUUGCUUUAACAAAUAUAAUUUUAAUUUAAUAUAAACGAUUUCUUUUAUCAAAAAGUGUCGUUGUCAUUUAAAUUAAUACAAUGCUGAACGUGCGUCUGGACGAAACAAAUAAUUUUUCGAAAGAGCUUUACGAUCUAAUUGGAAAUUAGGGAAAAGUUUCGAUUAUACAUCAUACGUAAACAUCAUACGUAAUUUUGUAUCAUUACGAAAGCUAUAACUAAUAAUAUAUUAAAUAAUGCCUAUGCCUUGGUUACAUACGAUAAAAUUAUUGAGAUGUAUACAAAAUAUAUUAUGAAGAAUAAUAAUAUAACUGUACAUAUAAGGUUUCUUAUUUAAAUAACGACGUGCACGUUCGCUGAACAAGUAACAAUAGCGGAAACAAUAGCGUUUGAUAGCUUCUAAAAUUAGUCCAUUUUUUUCGCUAAAUGCGACAUAACAAUAUGAUCGCCGAAUACAUUAAAAUUAUAUUUACUCAAUCCUUCGAUGGUAGAUCUAAAUAUAAAAAUUUGAAAAACCUUUGAUUCGUCAUGAAUACAAUAUAUAUAUAUAUAUAUAUAUAUAUAUAUGUAUAUAUGAUAUAUAUAUAUAUAGAUACUCUCUGUUAAAAUUAUUAAUUGUACGACGACGAGAACUAAAUAUUAGAACUAUUGUAUUUUAGGUGAUAUCUACGUCUGUAUAAAAUAAACAAUUAUAGACAAAUCAAGGUACUGAAGAGAUUCCAUCUAGGUAUAUAGAUUGAUCGAUUCUCUGAUAAAUUCCAAAUGCGAUUAGCGUGGUUUCCUUUAAAUACAAUGAGUUCUGUUGGCGUGCGGUAAUUCCGGAAGUGGAAGACUUGUGUAGCAAGGCCAUGAGAAAUCCAAGGUAGAAUGUCCAUUAAGAGAUCCACCCCUUGGUAAGCUGGGUCAGACGUAAACUUCUAUCUAACGGUUGAGGGUAAUUUUAUAUUCUUCCCUUGGCCUCGUGGCCCCCAGUCUCUUACUCGACAUUGCUUCACCUGUUGGUUGGCCAGCUCUCCUUCUCUCCUUUCCUUUCCUUUUCUUUCCUUUUUUCCCUUCUUUCUAUCUUUCCUUCGUUGGUUUCCCAACGUACAUGUAAUAUUGAUCCUGUCUCCGACAUAGAAAGCUAUGCCGAACGUAUAACAUCGACCAGACAGAAUUUUCAACUCCCAUUGAUUAGAGUUCAGAGUAUUACAAGUGAAACUUGUAACACUCGUCUUAAAUUCGUAUGUCAAUAUGGAACACCGGGAUAUUAUCAAUAACAAGAUAUUGUCUUUUAAGAAUAUCAUUAAAUGGAUUAUAAUCCAGAUCUUCCUUCGUACAUUAUCUUUUGUUGAUUUUUAACUUGUUUGAUCGUUAACUCGAAAUUUUCCUUUCUUCUGUGUCAUUCACAAAAUUAAAAUAAUUAUAAUUUAAUUAUAUUAGCAUCAGCUUUAAUCAUGUUAGUUGUACGUUAUGCUACUAUAUUAGGUAGUAUCGUUAUUGUAUCCUGACAUGCGAUGAGAUUUCAUGUGUACGUAUACAUCAUGUAUACAAGUCCAUGGGAAACCAAGGUCCUUAGAAUAAUUCAAUGAACGCUGAAUAGCACUACAAAUCAGAGGUGAAGUAGAGUAUAGUGGCAGUGCCUAUGUAACUUCAUCAUUAUAUUGAUAAAUGAGUCAAUCCACAUUAGACCAGACAAGGCAAAAUAUUUCUCAUCGUUUGAAAUGUCGUUAUAUUUCAUUUCAAUCAUUAAUUAAUGUUAUUUGCUCGUUCAUAUUCAUUUUAUUUUACGAUGCCUUCGAAAGCAGAACCAGUUAUCUAAUAAUCCUUGCUUAUAAAUAUCGAAUAGGUUCUUAAAAUUUCUUUCGUUUAAAAUCGAACUAUUACUAUUUAUCCUUUUUAACAAAACCAACCAAAUUUUUUAUAAAUUAAGAUAUACUGCCAAAUAUAGAAUAUAUUUAUUCAUUCGGACGAUUCAGAUUGAGUUACCAACAUCAUUACUAUGGAUCAGGUAUCGCCUACGAAAUAAUCACGUUCCGUCAUCUUUCAUUCACAUAUGUAUAAUGAAUCUUGAGAAAUGUCAUUAUGAAGUUUAACUUUUUAAUUUAUGAUUUUGACGAUUUGUAGCUCGUUAUAAGUUUGUAAUAAAUAAUUUUAAAUUCGUUAACGAUCACCAAAGCGAGAUCUAACAGUUUUUAUUAGAUUAUACGAAAAUUAUUUUUUUUCUUUUUUAAGAAAUAAAAAUCUUGCUAGCUUCGAAAAACAUUCGAUAUAAGUAUAAUUACUUUAAGGAUAUUCGUGGGAUCUACGUUUUAUCAUUUGUCUAUUAGCGCCCUUAUAUGAUAGCGCCCUUCCUAAUUUCUCGUCCGACAUGUCUCUUAUUCUUGCUUUUCGUCUUUUAUUCUCUUUUGUUCUAAUCCUUUCAAUUCUUUAUAACGAAUAAAAAUGCCUUUAAAAUCUUCGAAUAUCAAGUAUCUCAUAAAUAUUUUCAUUUGAUUUUCUUUCAUAAAAAACUCCAUAAAAGAUUUCUAAACGGAAUGUAUAUGGAACUUUAAGGCUUCUUUCUCUUCAUCAUUUUCUUUCCAAUAAUGUCUUUAUCUCGAUAACUUCGUCCAACGUUACGUUCUGAUGAUUUCAGAAGGAAAAGAAAAAUAUUAUCAUCAGAUGCUAACAGGAGUGUAGCUAUGGUUGUAAAAUUUCUAAAUGAGAAAAAGCGAGAAAGACAGACAGACAGAGAGAGAGAGAGAGAGAGAGAGAGAGAGAGAGAGAGAGAGAGAGAGCACUUGCAAUAUUGUUGGACAUUGUCGUCAACGUCCACUAUAAAGCCACGUAGCGAGCGCAUCCCGAGGCUAAUAACGAUAGAGGGAGUAGACUGCGAUAUCGUAUCGCUUCAUAUAGAACACAUUAAAAGUUGUCUUGGCUUAUCCAAGCUUAUUCGAAUGUGAAUCCGUAUCGAAACUUUUGCGAGCCAUGAUAAUAACUUAUAUUUAAAAAUAUUUUUGUCUUUCUUUUUUUAUAAAACAAAUAAAAUAAAAGAAAUCGUGUUAGAGUUAAAUCUAGCAAUGAGAUAAUUAAUUUUUGUCGAUGGUCGUAUUAAGAUGCGUUAUUAAUUUGUGAAGAGUGUCGAUCUACGUUAGCUAGAUGACUGCAUUACGCGAGUAAAUGAUAACGAUAAAAUAUGAUGGUAUGAAACUACAAAAC